rnacentral:rRNA from 1 species
GAUGAACGCUGGCGGCGUGCCUAAUACAUGCAAGUCGAGCGAACAGACGAGGAGCUUGCUCCUCUGACGUUAGCGGCGGACGGGUGAGUAACACGUGGAUAACCUACCUAUAAGACUGGGAUAACUUCGGGAAACCGGAGCUAAUACCGGAUAAUAUAUUGAACCGCAUGGUUCAAUAGUGAAAGACGGUUUUGCUGUCACUUAUAGAUGGAUCCGCGCCGCAUUAGCUAGUUGGUAAGGUAACGGCUUACCAAGGCAACGAUGCGUAGCCGACCUGAGAGGGUGAUCGGCCACACUGGAACUGAGACACGGUCCAGACUCCUACGGGAGGCAGCAGUAGGGAAUCUUCCGCAAUGGGCGCAAGCUUGACGGAGCAACGCCGCGUGAGUGAUGAAGGUCUUCGGAUCGUAAAACUCUGUUAUUAGGGAAGAACAAAUGUGUAAGUAACUAUGCACGUCUUGACGGUACCUAAUCAGAAAGCCACGGCUAACUACGUG